UAGUAAUAAUAACUGGGCUUAAGCAUUUUGGGUUGUGGUUAGGCCCAACGAGUUAUUAUUGCUAGUGGGCUGGGUCGUUACAUUUGGUAUCAGAGCCGGUUCACCAGCUGGACAUGUGUGGCGAGUCUCGGCUGAGCCAGGGUCUGGAUGACGGGCUAGCGAGAUGAGUCUCACAUCGCCUGGUGAUCUUGGGCUGUGUGUGUGAUUGGAUUGACGAGGACGUCAGGGCCUUAACGGGGGGAGUCUGUGACACCCCAAUAGUCCCACAUCGGAUGGGAAUGGGAUUGUCAUUGGGUUUAUAAGAGACUUAGACAUGCAAGCGGUGAGGUUGAGACGAGACGUGAGACACGUUCGUAGUGGUUGCUAGAGCUUCGGACCCAGUUUGUUGGUUUAGUUCCUAUCCUGUUUACUUUUGUUAUUAAUAGCUUUAAUAUUUCAUGGUUCA
rnacentral:lncRNA from 1 species